AGGGUUUGAUCCUGGCUCAGGAUGAACGCUGGCGGCGUGCUUGAUACAUGCAAGUCGAACGAACCGAUCCGAGGUGAACGGGAUAGAAGAUGUGGAAGAUGAGAAAUCGUUAGAAGCGUUGGACAGACUAGAAGCCUCAAUGUCGGUUAGUGGCGAACGGGUGAGUAACACAUGGGUAAUCUGCCUCAAAGUGGGGAACAACUGUUCGAAAGAGCAGCUAAUUCCGCAUGUGAUCCAGCAAUGGAUGAAAGGGUCUUCGGACUCGCUUUGAGAUGAGCCCGCGGCCGAUUAGCUAGUUGGUAAGGUAACGGCUUACCAAGGCGACUAUCGGUAGCUGGUCUGAGAGGAUGAUCAGCCACACUGGGACUGAGACACGGCCCAGACUCCUACGGGAGGCAGCAGUAAGGAAUAUUGCACAAUGGGGGAAACCCUGAUGCAGCAACGCCGCGUGAACGAAGAAGGCCUUCGGGUUGUAAAGUUCUUUUCUGGGGGAAGAGAUAGGACGGUACCCCAGGAAUAAGUCUCGGCUAACUACGUGCCAGCAGCCGCGGUAAGACGUAGGAGGCAAGCGUUAUCCGGAUUCAUUGGGCGUAAAGGGCAAGUAGGCGGUAGCAAAAGUUAGGUGUGACAUCUCCCGGCUCAACUGGGAGGGAGCGCUUAAAACUAGGCGACUAGAGGACAGGAGAGGGAGGCGGAACUCCUAGUGUAGCGGUGGAAUGCUCAGAUACUAGGAAGAACACCAGUGGCGAAGGCGGCCUCCUGGACUGUACCUGACGCUGAGAGGCGAAAGCUAGGGUAGCAAACGGGCUUAGAUACCCCGGUAGUCCUAGCUGUAAACGGUGGAUACUGGGUAAUGGGGGUAAUCACUCCUCCAGUGCCGAAGCAAACGCGUUAAGUAUCCCGCCUGGGGACUACGAUCGCAAGGUUAAAACUCAAAGGAAUUGACGGGGACCCGCACAAGCAGCGGAGCGUGUGGUUUAAUUCGAUGUUACACGAAGAACCUUACCUGGGUUUGACAUGUAUGUAGUAGGGAGCCGAAAGGUAACCGAGUCUUCGGACAGCAUACACAGGUGCUGCAUGGCUGUCGUCAGCUCGUGCCGUGAGGUGUCGGGUUAAGUCCCGUAACGAGCGCAACCCUCGUUGCUAGUUACAAGUGUCUAGCGAGACUGCCGGCAUAUAACCGGAGGAAGGCGGGGAUGACGUCAAGUCAUGGCCUUUAUAUCCAGGGCUACACACACGCUACAAUGGCUGGUACAAAGGGUAGCGAAGCCGCGAGGCGGAGCCAAUCUCAGAAAGCCAGUCUCAGUUCAGAUUGUAGGCUGCAACUCGCCUGCAUGAAGUUGGAGUUGCUAGUAACCGCAGGUCAGCAAUACUGCGGUGAAUACGUUCCCGGGUCUUGUACACACCGCCCGUCACGUCAUGGAAGCUGGUAAUACCUAAAAUCGGUGAGCUAACCGCAAGGGGGCAACUGCUUAAGGUAGGACUAGUAACUGGGACGAAGUCGUAACAAGGUA
rnacentral:rRNA from 1 species